rnacentral:rRNA from 1 species
CCUACGGGCAGCAGCAGUGGGGAAUAUUGCGCAAUGGGCGAAAGCCUGACGCAGCGACGCCGCGUGAGGGAUGAAGGUCUUCGGAUCGGAAACCUCUGUCAGCAGGGAAGAACGGUCACUGUGCUAAUCAGCAGUGAAUUGACGGUACCUGCAAAGGAAGCACCGGCUAACUCCGUGCCAGCAGCCGCGGUAAAACGGAGGGUGCGAGCGUGAAUCGGAAUUACUGGGCGUAAAGCGCUCGUAGGCGGUAUGUCAAGUCAAGGGUGAAAUCCCCGCGCUCAACGUGGGAACUGCCUUUGAAACUGGCAAACUGGAGUGUGUGAGAGGAUAGUGGAAUUCCAGGUGUAGGAGUGAACUCCGUAGAUAUCUGGAGGAACAUCAGUGGCGAAGGCGACUAUCUGGCACAUAACUGACGCUGAAGAGCGAAAGCGUGGGUAGCAAACAGGAUUAGAUACCCCAGUAGUC